UGGGACCAUAAAAUUAGGAAAUUAGCAAGGAUAAAUUGGCCUUAUACAUAGCCAACAAUAGACAAAGAAUGAUGAUGAGACGACAAGUUUUAGCUUUUAACCAACUGAAAACUGAAGUAGAUAAAACAUGGAUAAAACCAGGGUAAACCUAUAUAUUCUUAAUCUAAUGAUAAAAUCACGAACAAUAUUCAGUAUUCAUUAUUGUCAAUGUUGGAUUGGUUAAUCAUCUGAGAUUUUUAAAAUAAGGACUUAAAAUAAGGAACAUCACAAGAGAAACGAUUGGAUAUAGAUUGGAAAACUUUACCGAAGAGGAAUUUGAAACCAUGAACAAGACAAUUCAACAUGCGAAGACAAAAUAUGAAACAUCCAAAAAAUCAAUCAAAAUAUAAGUUUGCUUUUCCUUGUACAUAUAUUUAAUGUUAUACUUUCCUUUUGUAUUUUUGAAUAAGAAAUAUAUAAUAAUGUUUAUACUGUACCUACAUAUACAUAUACUUAACUAUACAUAUACUACCUAUAUAUAUUUUGUAUUUCAGACCUUCAACUUUUAAGAUUUUUUUUAGAAAUUCGAUUCAAGAGGUCAGAGUUGAGUAAUUCCUUAUUUGAUGAGCAGCCGAAAAGAUCAGUAAGUUCUCAGUACUCAGUACUAAACAGUAAUUUUGAAACAAUGGGACACCCUCUACAACAAAGCUUAAUAGCUGUAAAAAAACUCAUCGCAACUUUAUUAGAAUAUUUUGUACGGGAAAGCGGUAGUAAU